ACCCCAAAGAUAGCUCAGUUGGUAGAGCAUGAGAAUCUUAAUCUCAGGGUUGUGAGUUCAAGCUUCACACUGGGCA